rnacentral:misc_RNA from 1 species
UGAAGAAAAAAAAAAUUAGCAUGUCUACAUUAAAGAUAGUGGUGCCCCCUGCAAUUUCAAUACCUGGAGCUGCCUCUGAUUGCUAAUAGCUAUAAUCCAAAACAAUAUCAUAUCAGACAAUGGCCACAUAAAUCCAUGCUAUAAUCAUUAGUUCUUAGCAGUCCUUCAAGAUCAACCAUCUAUAACUUGUUCUGUUUAGCUCGUAUGUACAUAAACUUGUGCAUUUUUUCAUUUUUUAAAGUGUUAAUGUUGUUAUACACUAAAAAGUAAGUAUUUGCAGCUUUCAACUCAUACUGGAAUUAGAUACUGUGUCACAGCAGUACAAGGUAUAAUUGAAUGGGUGGUUGAGACUUCCAUGUAUUAAGGUAAUUAUAGAACACAAUGGAAGUGUUUCUUAGCAUCCAGCGAACAGGAAGAGACGUUGUAAAAGGUCCAAAUAGCUUACAACUCUCCGAAGAAUUGGCUCCAGUGAUGAGCAGAGUUUCUGCAGACUGUCCACCUUGAGCGCUUCAACAAUAACACUGGCAAGAGCUGGUCUUUUUCUCUCAGGUUGACCUUCUUCACUACUGCUAACAUCAAGUCUACGUUUCUCUCCACUGGGUCUUUCCAUGAAAUUCCUCUCAAUUACUGUAUUGGGUAUCUUUAGAUCUGAUUUUUCAGUUCAAAUUUGAGCUUCCAAAUUCCUAAGGGAAAGAUUAAAAAGAGG